AUGGAAAAGCAAAACAAAAUGUUGGCAAAACCGAAAAGGGACUAUGCAAUUGGAAGAAUCUACUAUGCACAUCCCGCAAGUGGCGAGAGAUAUCAUAUGAGGAUGCUUCUAAACACCAAGAAAGGAUGCACAUCAUUUGAGGACAUUAGGACCGUUGAUGGAGUCAUUCACCCAACAUACAAAUCAGCAUGCCAAGCCCUCGGAUUUCUUGAUGAUGACACCGAGUGGAUUGACUGUAUCAAUGAAGCAUCAAGUUGGGCAUCCAGAACACAACUACGUCAGUUAUUCACCACCAUAUUGUCCCAUUGCGAAGUCACAAACCCAAAGGUAUUGUGGGAUUCAACAUGGGAGGCGUUGUGUGAAGAUAUGCAAUACAAAAGAAGGACUAUUCUAAACUUUCCAACACUUCGGCUUACAAACACACAGAAGAAAGCGUAUGGUCUGAUUGAGAUAGAAAAACUGAUGAGGCAAGUAGGAAAGUCACUAAAGGACUAUCCAGACAUAGAACUACCAAAUGCCGCAGAGCUAGAAGAACUUGGGAACAGACUAAUAAACGAAGAGGUCAACUACGACAUGGACAAACUCAAGGAUGAGCACAAAAUCAUACUAAACAAUCUUAACCAAGACCAGAAAAAGGCCUAUGAUGCAAUAAUGGAGUCAGUCGACAAAGGCCUAGGAAAGCAGAUAUUUGUCGAAGGCUACGGUGGCACAGGAAAAACCUAUCUAUGGAAAGCAAUAACGACAAAGCUAAGAUCAGAGGGGAAGAUAGUACUUGCAGUAGCAUCAUGUGGGAUUGCAGCGUUGCUUCUCCAAGGUGGAAGAACAGCACACUCAAGGUUCCGUAUUCCACUUAAUAUCACUGAAGAAUCAACGUGUGAAAUAAAACAAGGCUCGCAUUUGGCUGAACUGCUAAAGAAGACCUCACUUAUAUUGUGGGACGAGGCUCCUAUGGCAAACAAACACUGCUUCGAGGCACUAGACAAAAGCCUUAGAGAUAUUCUAAGGUUCACUAAUGAAAACAGCGAUGAAAAGCCAUUUGGUGGAAUGAUAGUUAUACUAGGAGGCGACUUCAGACAAAUCCUGCCAGUUAUAACCAAAGGAAGGAGAGAGCAGAUAGUAAAUGCUUCAAUCAAAAGGUCAUAUCUGUGGAAACUCUUUGAAAUAUUUGAGUUAACACAGAACAUGCGGCUGAAGUGUUUGUCAGAUGAUCCAAUACAAAAGCAAAAGGUUGCUGAAUUGGCAGAGUGGAUACUACAGAUUGGCGAUGGGAAAACAACAUCAGAUGAAGGAGAGGAUUGGAUAAAAAUACCAAAAGACCUACUGCUAGAGAAAGGAUAA
rnacentral:rRNA from 1 species